rnacentral:rRNA from 1 species
GACGAACGCUGGCGGCGUGCUUAACACAUGCAAGUCGAACGGAAAGGCCCUGCUUGUGUGGGGUGCUCGAGUGGCGAGCGGGUGAGUAACACGUGAGUAACCUGGCCUGGACUUGGGGAUAACUUCAGGAGACUGGGGCUAAUACCGGAUAGGAGAUCGUGCUGCAUGGUGGGGGUUGGAAAGUUUCGGCGGAUGGGGAUGGACUCGCGGCUUAUCAGCUGGUGGGUGGGGGAGUGGCUUACCAAGGCUUUGACGGGUAGCCGGCAUGAGAGGGUGACCGGCCUCCUUGGGCCUGCGAUACGGCCCAGACGCGUACGGGAGGCAGUAGUCGGGAAUAUUGCACAAUGGGGGGAAGCCUGAUGAAGAAAUGCCCCGAUCGGGAUGCAGGCCUUCGGGUUGUAAACCGCUUUCACCUGUGACGAAGCGUGUGUGACGGUACUGGGUGAAGAAGCACCGGCUAACUACGUG